UAUUCUGUUUUAAUUUGGAAUGUAAAAGACAUUUAUUAAACAGUGUGAAGAUUUAACUAGUUUUUUACUUACUUUGUGUUAAUUUUAAGAAAUAUUUUUCAUUUAUCUUUCGUAUACUUUUGGAAUCGUUUUGCAAGGACGGGACUGAAAAGUUAAUUAGUUAAUGCAAAUAUUUUCGGAAAUGAAGUAAAUUUUGUUAUAAAAUAUAAAAGAAAGAAAAAAAACUGGAUGUGAGCUGUCUUUAUGUCAAUAGCUAUGUUACUUGAGCCGUUUUCGUUUUCCGCAAGACAUAAUUCGAUGGACAAAAAUUCAUCCCAAGAAUUGGGUUUUACAGUACGACGUUUUGGACUACAUGGAAACCCGAAUAAAUCGCAAAAGCUCGCUGGGUCUCUUGAGAGUGUGUCCCACGCUAAAAAUGUUAGAUUAAAUGUAUUUUUAUUAGCAACUCUUAAAACCACAAACAUUUCUACAAAGAAAAUAAAAUUGGCUAAAAUCAAGAUUUGGUAAAUAUUGUAAUUUUUAUUGCGAAAAUUGCUUUAAUUUGUAACAAUUUAUAAUUUUCUUUGGUGUAUUGAUUUAAUUUAAAUAAAGUACAUUAUAAUUUUUAUUUAAAGCACAUUUGUUUGUAUUUCCCUUAGAGAGCUCUUAUUGUUGUACUAUAAUUUAAAACUAGUUUUCGGCACGCUUAUCAAGCAAUUUUCGCUAGUUGCUCACUCAAGCGCUCACAGUUGGGGAAUUAUAUACAUUUUAGCCAUUCUACUCGCCACACAAGUUGCGGUGUUUGGCGGUGUUUCUUAAGUAUCUUGAAGGUAUGCUGUUUCUUUGGCUUUUUCAUUUAUUAUUAGCUAAUAUCAUUUGUUGAUAGUUCUGCGUGUAUGAAUUGUGCUACAAUAACUACUCGUAUGUCUACGUGCAUUCACGUAAAUUAAUUAAAGAAUAAAUAAUUGACGCACAUACA